GGUUAAGUUAACAAGGGCGCAUGGUGAAUGCCUUGGCACUAGGAGCCGAUGAAGGACGGGACUAACACCGAUAUGCUUCGGGGAGCUGUACGUAAGCUAUGAUCCGGAGAUUUCCGAAUGGGGCAACCCAGCAGUUUUAAUCAACUGUUACCACUAGAUGAAUUCAUAGUCUAGUUGGAGGUAAACGCUGUGAACUGAAACAUCUCAUUAGCAGCAGGAAUAUAAAGAAAUUUCGAUUCCCUAAGUAGCGGCGAGCGAACGGGGAACAGCCCAAACCAAAGUGCUUGCACUUUGGGGUUGUAGGACUGAACAUUUGAGUUACCAAAGAACUUGAUAGUCGAAGGAUUUGGGAAAAUCCGCCAUAGAUGGUGAUAGCCCAGUAGAUUAAAUCAAAUUCUCUCAGUUCAGGAUCCUGAGUACGGCGGAACACGUGAAAUUCCGUCGGAAUCCGGGAGGACCAUCUCCCAAGGCUAAAUACUACCUAGUGACCGAUAGUGAACCAGUACCGUGAGGGAAAGGUGAAAAGCACCCCGGGAGGGGAGUGAAAUAGUUCCUGAAACCAUGUGCCUACAAUAAGUCAGAGCGCGUUAAUGCGUGAUGGCGUGCCUUUGUAGAAUGAACCGGCGAGUUAUGAUCCCGUGCAAGGUUAAGACUAAAAAGUCGGAGCCGUAGCGAAAGCGAGUCUGAAAUGGGCGUUUUGAGUACGAGGUUAUAGACCCGAAACCAGGUGACCUAUCCAUGUCCAGGUUGAAGGUGCGGUAAAACGCACUGGAGGACCGAACCCGUGUAAGUUGAAAAUUGCUGGGAUGAGGUGUGGAUAGCGGUGAAAUUCCAAACGAACUUGGAGAUAGCUGGUUCUCUCCGAAAUAGCUUUAGGGCUAGCCUCGGAAUUAGGAUCAUGGAGGUAGAGCACUAUUUGGACUAGGGGCCCGUCUUGGGUUACUGAAUUCAGAUAAACUCCGAAUGCCAUUGAUUCAUAUCCGGGAGUCAGACGAUGAGUGAUAAGAUCCACCGUCGAAAGGGGAACAGCCCAGACCAUCAGUUAAGGUCCCUAAAUGUAUGCUAAGUGGAAAAGGAUGUGGAGUUGCAUAGACAACUAGGAUGUUGGCUCAGAAGCAGCCACCAUUUAAAGAGUGCGUAAUAGCUCACUAGUCGAGUGAUCCUGCGCCGAAAAUGUACCGGGGCUAAGCAUACUACCGAAACCAUGGAUGCGACCAUUAGGUCGCGUGAUAGGAGAGCGUUCUAAGGGCGGUGAAGCAAGAUCGUGAGGACUUGUGGAGCGCUUAGAAGUGAGAAUGCCGGUAUGAGUAGCGAAAGAUAGGUGAGAAUCCUAUCCACCGAAUGACUAAGGUUUCCUGGGGAAGGCUCGUCCUCCCAGGGUUAGUCGGGACCUAAGUCGAGGCCGAGAGGCGUAGACGAUGGAUAACAGGUUGAGAUUCCUGUACUAGUUAAGUGCGUUUGAGCAAUGGAGGGACGCAGGAGGCUAAGAUGUGCAUUCUGUUGGAUUAGAAUGUCCAAGCAGUAAGUCUUGUGAAGAGUCAAAUGCUUUUCACUUUAAGGACAAGCUGUGAUGGGGAGCGAAAUUUAGUAGCGAAGCGUCUGAUGUCACACUGCCGAGAAAAGCUUCUAGUGAGUACUUAACUACCCGUACCGCAAACCGACACAGGUAGUCGAGGAGAGAAUCCUAAGGUGAGCGAGUGAACUCUCGUUAAGGAACUCGGCAAAAUGACCCCGUAACUUCGGGAGAAGGGGUGCUGAUCGCAAGAUCAGCCGCAGUGAAUAGGCCCAGGCGACUGUUUAUCAAAAACACAGGUCUCUGCAAAAUCGUAAGAUGACGUAUAGGGGCUGACGCCUGCCCGGUGCUGGAAGGUUAAAAGGAUGGGUUAGCUUCGGCGAAGCUCAGAAUUGAAGCCCCAGUAAACGGCGGCCGUAACUAUAACGGUCCUAAGGUAGCGAAAUUCCUUGUCGGGUAAGUUCCGACCCGCACGAAAGGCGUAACGAUCUGGGCACUGUCUCAACGAGAGACUCGGUGAAAUUAUAUUGUCCGUGAAGAUGCGGACUACCCGCGACAGGACGGAAAGACCCCAUGGAGCUUUACUGUAGCUUGAUAUUGAGUGUUUGUACAGCUUGUACAGGAUAGGUAGGAGCCAUAGAAACCGGAACGCUAGUUUCGGUGGAGGCGUUGGUGGGAUACUACCCUCGCUGUAUGACCACUCUAACCCGCACCACUAAUCGUGGUGGGAGACAGUGUCAGGUGGGCAGUUUGACUGGGGCGGUCGCCUCCUAAAAAGUAACGGAGGCGCCCAAAGGUUCCCUCAGAAUGGUUGGAAAUCAUUCGCAGAGUGUAAAGGCACAAGGGAGCUUGACUGCGAGACAGACAGGUCGAGCAGGGACGAAAGUCGGGCUUAGUGAUCCGGUGGUACCGUAUGGAAGGGCCAUCGCUCAACGGAUAAAAGCUACCCUGGGGAUAACAGGCUUAUCUCCCCCAAGAGUCCACAUCGACGGGGAGGUUUGGCACCUCGAUGUCGGCUCAUCGCAUCCUGGGGCUGUAGUCGGUCCCAAGGGUUGGGCUGUUCGCCCAUUAAAGCGGUACGCGAGCUGGGUUCAGAACGUCGUGAGACAGUUCGGUCCCUAUCCGUCGCGGGCGUAGGAAAUUUGAGAGGACCUGUCCUUAGUACGAGAGGACCGGGAUGGACAUACCUCUGGUGUACCAGUUGUGCCGCCAGGCGCAUCGCUGGGUAGCUACGUAUGGAUGUGAUAAACGCUGAAAGCAUCUAAGUGUGAAACACACCUCGAGAUGAGAUUUCCCAUUCCUUUAUGGAAGUAAGACCCCUGAAAGAUGAUCAGGUAGAUAGGUUAGAAGUGGCAGUGCGGUGACGCAUGAAGCGGACUAAUACUAAUCGGUCGAGGACUUAACCAA
rnacentral:rRNA from 1 species